UAAAGUGGCGGGUGGGAGUUCUAGGUUCCUUACAAUUCCUGUUUUUCUGGGAACAACAACAGCAGCAGCAGCAGCAGUACUGAAGGGAGGGGAAAAGAUUCCGCAUAUAACCAAGCACCAGUACCGCCCUGCAGCCCUACAGCUGGAAGACUAGCUAGGUCUGUGCAGCUAUGGGCGUCUGCUGCUUGUGGCAAGGUAGAGACUGGGUGUCCCGGUCCGAGCCGAGGCGGGCUGUGCUGUUUGAACGGAAAGACAGCGAAGAAAAAAAUCGUGUUUACUCCGGGGCCGGCGGUGGCGAUAGUAAUAAUAUUCCUUCCUGACAAAGUGCCCCUCCCCGGCUUCCCUCAGGUCCUCUGUUGCUUAUGUCUGAGUCCUUGCAGAGCCAGACAGAGAGAUGUGCGGGUGACGUCACCGCCUGGGCAGCGACGAUACGGAUCAAUGCCGAAAUUUGUGCAUGGAGGAACCCAGGACCACGAGGAAGAUUCUGACCAUUAACCAUCUACCAGCAGCUCAGUGACACAAGAUACACUACACACAACCAGCAGGUGUAAAGACUCAGGAAGAACAGUACCCAGCCCCGACCAACAACUAUC